rnacentral:rRNA from 1 species
UUUUAAAUGUAAAUUUGAAUACUAGAUUAGUAUUAGUUAUGAUCUUGAAAAUUAAAGAAUUUGGCGGUUUUUUAGUCUAUUCAGAGGAACCUGUUUUAUAAUUGAUAUUCCACGAUUAAAUUAACUUAUUUUAUUAGUUUGUAUAUCGUUGUAGAUUGAAUAUUUUAUUAGAAUAAUAAUGUUCAAAAUUUAAAAUAAUAAAAAAAAUCAGAUCAAGGUGCAAUUUAUAAAUAAGAAAAAAUGGGUUACAAUAAAUAUAUUUAUGGAUAUAAAAAUUUAAAUUUUGUUGAAAUUGGAUUUGAUUGUAAUUUUAAUUAGUUUAUUAAAAUGAUUUAGCUCUAAAUUAUG